ACAGCUCAGCCUGACUCCUGUACCUAUGCCAGCAUCGUGUUUGACAGCAACAGAAAAGGUGGCAAGACUCUCCGGGUUGCUGAUUCAGAAGAGAGUGAGUCAGCGGAUGUAACCUAUGCAGCUGUGGUGAAGACUCAUUAGGAGCGAAUAAGAACUGAACCUGUGUAACUGAGGUUGCAUUGUUUCUCAGAUCAAAUUCAAGGAAUGUCAUGGAACUUACCAGCUCAGAAACUUGGCAUUAUUAUUCUUCAAAAGUGUUUUUUAAUUUUAAAAAAAAAAUUGUACCUUUUUUUCUUAGUGUAUUUUUAAGUGUUUAUGGGAUACUGCACACUUUUGAAAGCAAGUAACCUGACACUCAUUGUAAGUGUUGUUUACACAGCUGCUGGGUCAGACAGCAGCAGAAGAAGGUGCAGACGAACUGGAGACAUGGACAAGUGGCGAUUCAGCCAGAAACAACUAUGUGAUUGGUUCCCAGAUAAUUGAACAAUUUGUGGAUAUGAACAUGACAGGGAGAAGCCAUCCGACCUCCACUUUCUGAGGAACUGUUCAUCAUCUGUAGCACAGUGGCACAGUAGGCGGCACGGUGGCACAGUGGUUAGCACUGCUGCCUCACAGCGCCAGAGACCCGGGUUCAAUUCCCGACUCAGGCGACAGACUGUGUGGAGUUUGCACGUUCUCCCCGUGUCUGCGUGGGUUUCCUUCGGGUACUCCGGUUUCCUCCCACAGUCCAAAAGAUGUGCGGGUCAGGUGAAUUGGCCAUGCUAAAUUGCCCGUAGUGUUAGAUAAGGGGUAAAUGUAGGGGAAUGGGUGGGUUGCGCUUCGGCGGGUCGGUGUGGACUUGUUGGGCCGAAGGGCCUGUUUCCACACUGUAAGUAAUCUAAUCUAAUCUAAUCAGCUCUGUUCCCGGCAGGAAAAGCUACUUUAAAUCUGAGGAUAACCAGCUGAUUGUCUUUUCCUUCAGCAGUUGCAGUAAGUUCUGACCUUUAAUGAGUAAGUCAGACCUUUUAUAAGCCACACACUGUAUCUCUAGUAAACCAGUGACAGCAUCUGGAGAAGCAGCAUUCUGAUCAGCACAAGAAUCAUCUCAGCGGAUCCUGCAAACAGGGAUUGGCGAAACUGUUUUCUGUGUGUUCCUUCCACUUUAGUUUCUGUCUGUGUGUCUGUGUCUGUGUGUGCACACACACGCGUGUGUGUGUGUGCACGCGCGUGUGUGUGUUUCUGUGUGUGUACAAUAUGUGCUUGCUUUUAAGGGGACUUGGUUCAUGAGCAUCUUAGAGUUUUAACUCAUGUUGUUAUAGCUCAAUGGUCCAUCAUUUUUC